rnacentral:rRNA from 1 species
UGAGGAAUUUUGCACAAUGGGGGAAACCCUGAUGCAGCGACGCCGCGUGAGUGAUGAAGGUCUUCGGAUCGUAAAGCUCUGUCAGCAGGGAAGAAACGUUUGGUGGCUAAUAUCCAUUGAAUUUGACGGUACCUGCAAAGGAAGCACCGGCUAACUCUGUGCCAGCAGCCGCGGUAAUACAGAGGGUGCGAGCGUUGUUCGGAUUUACUGGGCGUAAAGGGCGCGUAGGCGGUUUUAUAAGCCAGAUGUGAAAGCCCACGGCUCAACCGUGGAAGUGCAUCUGGAACUGUAAGACUUGAGUACUGGAGGGGAGUGUGGAAUUCCCGGUGUAGAGGUGAAAUUCGUAGAUAUCGGGAGGAAUACCGGUGGCGAAGGCGACACUCUGGACAGAUACUGACGCUGAGGCGCGAAAGCGUGGGGAGCAAACAGG